UGAAUACGAGAUGCUACGGCGUCGAAGCAGUCUAUGUCAUACUUCCAAGAAAAGCUUGCACUGUCAUAAACAAAUAAUGCCUGUACCAUAACCGACACAGGUGGGUAGGUAGAGUAUACUAAGGGGCGCGAGAUAACUCUCUCUAAGGAACUCGGCAAAAUGACUCCGUAACUUCGGGAGAAGGAGUGCCUUAUUUAUAAGGUUGCAAUAACAAGAUCCAAGCAACUGUUUACCAAAAACACAGGUCUCCGCUAAGUCGUAAGACGAUGUAUGGGGGCUGACGCCUGCCCAGUGCCAGAAGGUUAAAGAAGUUGGUUAGCAUCCGCGAAGCUGAUAACUGAAGCCCUGGUGAACGGCGGCCGUAACUAUAACGGUCCUAAGGUAGCGAAAUUCCUUGUCGGGUAAGUUCCGACCCGCACGAAAGGCGUAAUGAUUUGGAUACUGUCUCGGAGAGGGGCUCGGUGAAAUAGACUUGUCUGUGAAGAUGCGGACUACCUGCACCAGGACAGAAAGACCCUAUGAAGCUUUACUGUAACCUGAAAUUGAAAUUGGACUUUACUUGCGCAGUAUAGGUGGGAGGCGUUGAGAAUAUUCUUGCGGGAUUAUUGGAGCCAUCAGUGAGAUACCACUCUUGUAAUGUUAGAUUUCUAACUUUGUAUCAUUAUCUGGUCAAAGAACAGUUUCAGGCGGGCAGUUUGACUGGGGCGGUCGCCUCCUAAACGGUAACGGAGGCGCACAAAGGUUUCCUCUGAACGGGUAGAAAUCGUAUCUAGAGUGUAAAGGCAUAAGGAAGCUUGACUGUGAGACCUACAAGUCGAGCAGGGACGAAAGUCGGUCUUAGUGAUCUGACGGUGCUGAGUGGAAAGGCCGUCACUCAACGGAUAAAAGUUACUCUAGGAUAACAGGCUGAUCUCCCCCAAGAGUUCACAUCGACGGGGAGGUUUGGCACCUCUCGGCUCAUCGCAUCCUGGGGCGGUAGUACGUCCCAAGGGUUGGGCUGUUCGCCCAUGAAAGCGGUACGCGAGCUGGGUUCAGAACGUCGUGAGACAGUUCGGUCCAUAUCCGGUGUAGGCGUUAGAAUAUUGAGAGGAGCCUUCUUUAGUACGAGAGGACCGAGAAGGACAUACCUCUGGUGUACCAGUUAUCGUGCCAACGGUAAACGCUGGGUAGCUAUGUGUGGAGUGGAUAACCGCUGAAAGCAUCUAAGUGGGAAGCCCACCUCAAGAUAAGUAUCCU
rnacentral:rRNA from 1 species